rnacentral:rRNA from 1 species
UACGUAGGGACCAAGCGUUGCUCGGAUUUACUGGGCGUAAAGGGCGCGUAGGCGGCGUGACAAGUCACUUGUGAAAUCUCUGAGCUUAACUCAGAACGGCCAAGUGAUACUGUUGUGCUAGAGUGCAGAAAGGGCAAUCGGAAUUCUUGGUGUAGCGGUGAAAUGCGUAGAUAUCAGGAGGAACACCGAUGGCGAAGGCAGGUCUCUGGGCCACUACUGACGCUGAGAAGCGAAAGCAUGGGGAGCGAACAGG